rnacentral:rRNA from 1 species
UACGUAGGGCGCAAGCGUUAUCCGGAAUUAUUGGGCGUAAAGAGCUCGUAGGCGGUUUGUCGCGUCUGCCGUGAAAGUCCGGGGCUCAACUCCGGAUCUGCGGUGGGUACGGGCAGACUAGAGUGAUGUAGGGGAGACUGGAAUUCCUGGUGUAGCGGUGAAAUGCGCAGAUAUCAGGAGGAACACCGAUGGCGAAGGCAGGUCUCUGGGCAACUUAACUGACGCUGAGGAGCGAAAGCUGGGGAGCGAACAGG